rnacentral:rRNA from 1 species
UUUGGGAAUGCUGCUCAAAAUGGGAGGUAUAUGUCUUCUAAAGCUAAAUAUUGGCCAGAGACCGAUUGCGCACAAGUAGAGUGAUCGAAAGAUGAAAAGCACUUUGAAAAGAGGGUUAAAAAGUACGUGAAAUUGUUGAAAGGGAAGCGCCCAUGACCAGACUUGGGCCCGGCGAAUCACCCAGCGUCCUCGCUGGUGCACUUCGCCGGGCACAGGCCAGCAUCGGUUCGGCGCGGGGGACAAAGGCUCUGGGAACGUAGCUCCCCCGGGAGUGUUAUAGCCCACUGCGCAAUACCCUGCGGCGGACCGAGGUACGCGCUUCUGCAAGGAUGCCGGCGUAAUGGUCAUCAGCGACCCGUCUUGAAACACGGACCAAGGAGUCGUCUUCGUAUGCGAGUGUUCGGGCGUCAAACCCCUACGCGUAAUGAAAGUGAACGCAGGUGAGAGCUUCGGCGCAUCAUCGACCGAUCCUGAUGUUCUCGGAUGGAUUUGAGUAAGAGCAUACGGGGCCGGACCCGAAAGAAGGUGAACUAUGCCUGUAUAGGGUGAAGCCAGAGGAAACUCUGGUGGAGGCUCGCAGCGGUUCUGACGUGCGAAUCGAUCGUCAAAUAUGGGCAUGGGGGCGAAAGACUAAUCGAACCUUCUAGUAGCUGGUUUCA